rnacentral:rRNA from 1 species
AGCGUAGACGGUGUGGCAAGUCUGAUGUGAAAGGCAUGGGCUCAACCUGUGGACUGCAUUGGAAACUGUCAUACUUGAGUGCAGAAGAGGAGAGUGGAAUUCCAUGUGUAGCGGUGAAAUGCGUAGAUAUUAGGAGGAACACCAGCGGCGAAGGCGGCUUACUGGACGGUAACUGACGUUGAGGCUCGAAAGGCGUGGGAGCAAACA